rnacentral:sRNA from 1 species
ACCAAAAAAGGGGGCCAUGUAACCAAAUGUCUGGAUUAUAUAGGGACGGGCAGCCCAGACCCUAGGAUUUUAGGGUAGGGGGGUAUGUCAGCCAGGAGAGCCCUGAAACAGAGAGGGACUGAGGGAUGCAGGGAGAAUGUAGCAGUCAGGUCUGCUUUGAUAUGUUAAGUAGGCACCUCAGCCACUUGUCCCAUGAAAUCUAACAUCAGUGUGACAUUGUCUAGAGGGGGUUCAAUAUGGCUGUGCAGUGGGAGGGAAGAGACACAGAGUUCAUCAGUGAAGCAGAGCAGAGCAGGCUGUUAGGAAUUUGGACACUUCUUUCCCAGGCCGGAGAGAGUUGCCAGCUGUCUCAGGGAACCAUGCUCCGGGCAUCCGGGGUCUUUCUAGUCACUCUGUCACAAAGCCACCCAUCUGUAUUCACACAUCCCGUGUUUCUGUGUAUCUGCCCGCCAUGCCUCUGUGCUGUGUGGAGUCCUUUCUCCUGGGCUCAGACGAGCAGUUCUCCAGUUUGCUAUUGUAUGCAGGAGUUGACUCCACGGGCAAUUCCGAACUCAACCCGAGCAGUUAAAAGAAACGCAAGAACUGAAGCCACAGGACACCAUCCAAGCACAGAUUGCGGUGGACACCAACACCUAGCCAGGCACUAACAACCAAGGAAAAUGCUGAUUUAGGGGGAUCUUUAGGUCUUGACAUGUGGACACCUUGAGGAGCACCUAUACAGAUGGACAGUGGCCAGAUCCUGGAGAUGACAGCCAGUCCUGGAGAUGACAGCUGAUCCACAGUGUGGAGGUCACUGCUUUUUAUCUCGUGCAGCUUCUCUGCCUCACCCCAGAGAAACACUUUAAGACCAAGUGGUGAGCUGUAGUUGGACCGUGAUUUGCCUUCUCUGUGCUGCAGAGGUUCCUCCAGGAAGUGGGCUAUUUACACACCGAAAGAUCUGUCCACCACUGUUUACCAGUGAAAAGCAAAUCAAAGACUAUACUGUCAUCCCCAAGGUUUUGUAGUGUGGGAUUUGGUCACAUGAAGAAAAUAAAGUCAAAGCCCUUACAAGUGUCUCUGGCCUGUUUGUGUGAGUGUGGGUGAUUCUUCUCAUUAUCCAAGUCAUAGCUGGGUGAUGAUGGUACUCUGGGGGUCAGGCUACACAGAAGUAGCACAGUUCAGUCAGAGCAAGCCCACCUCUCACUCCAUAUGUGCCUGCAGGUGGCCACUAGCAGUCUGGUUGGUAGCACAUGGCACGGAGAACUGUGAGCAGGACCUGAGGCAUACCCAUCCCUCUUGAGUCUUAAACUCAGCAGCUGGUUAGAGUAAGCAAGGUAGGCAAAUUUCAGCACUGAGCUGGUCCACUGUCUUCGGUGCUCUCUGACCAAGCUCAUGCUGAGUCAGUCUGAAGACACUCCCUUGUCACUAACAGCAGGAGAUAUUUGUAUUCAGAUCAGUAAUCCCGCAGAGCGUGAUUAAGGGAGAAGAGGGCUUAGCAUCCUGUCAUUUUAAAAUCAACAUUCUUGAAUGUCUUUGUCAAAUUAAAAUUCACAGAGUUAAGCACUAACACAGCUAAAGAUAAAAUUGUCUAAGUCAAGGUUCUAUGUGGAAACAGCGAUUGGGAUUCAUGCUGUUAAAUUCAAGAGAGAUUUUUGAAUUUAGGGUUAGUGAGAAGAGACCAAGACUUAAGCCCAACACCCUUCCCUCAACAACAAGAAACAACAGAGAAAUAAGCAGCUGCAUUCUGACUGGGAAAACGUGAACGAUGCUUGCUGGUGUGUUGGUGAGUAAGGGAUGGGGGAAUAUUUUGGAGCAUGCGCACUACGGAGCAUGCGCACUUUGGGUGGCUAGCAGAGUAGAAAGGGAGCAAUUGCCCAUCAGUGCUCAGGUACGAUGUGAACCUGGAGUCUUUCUUCCAGAGCUGGAGGGGCAAACGGAUACCCAGCAAUCUGCACUUAGCUGCAGAACAGGUUUGAACGGUCCCAGCUUGCACUACCUUUAAGAGACCCUUCCCUACAGAUACCCCAGUUAUCCUGGGACCAUAGACACUGUCCAAGUUCAUUUUGCUGUGGGGACACCUAGCCAUGCCCUCUUCCCAUGACAAAACUAUACUAAUAGAUCUUGACUUUAGGAGGAAAAAAAAGGUCCAGCAAAAGCAACCUUGGCAACUGCAGCAGAACCCACACAGUGCCUUAAUCUUGCCCUCAGAGAUCAGCCAGCUGUCAUGGCAUCUGUACCCCAAGCAUGGAGAUCACUGUACGCCACCUGGCGGGCGGGGAUUAGCUAGCUGCAAGUGCUUGGGAGGCUAAAGAAAACCCUGCCUUAAACAGGAAGCCACAGUCCAUCCAGACUCAAUACUGUCCACAUGCCUCAGGAACCUGAGGUGAUGCUACCCCAGGGGAAACUGUACAUGAAGUGAUGAGACAGCCACUGGCUGUUGAGACUUUUUCAGAUGCUCCUCAUCUUGACCUACCAGAAGAACUUGCACAAAAAGGCCUGUGCGGACUCACCUACCCAGAUCUCGAACCAAUGCAACCUACCCAGCAUUCAUUUGCAAAUGGAAUUCUCCUCAUGACAACCACUGUAUAAAACUUGCUCUUCACCAAGAGCAGACAUCAGCGCCAGGCUAUGGCACCCUAGCAAAACAACCAACCAACCAAACAAACAAACAAAUAAACAACAACAACAACAACAAAGAACAGGAAACGAUGGUUUAUAACAACUAAAACAAAUUCAAAAUAGUGAUCCCAAGGAAACUCUGCAUACUCUGAACUCUGGGAAACUAUUUAAGAUCUGAACAGAAAUUCAAGAAGGAGGAUGGCUACCAUUAAAACAACAAAUGGAGACAAGUCCAGGAAGUAAAAUCUUCAGUAAUUAAUCAAGGAAUGCUGGCUUCAACAAGAAUGCCUUACAAAACACACCGCCGUUGUUUUAACUAAACAAUCUCACACCAUGACACAGUUAGGCAGACUCGGGACCUGUCAAUCACCCCAUCAUCUCACAAUGCAGUAGGAGGUGGUUUCCAGAUUGCACAGGGUCCAGGCACAUAGAAAACAGCCCAUUAUAUAAAAUCAGUAGUUGCGGCCAGUGUGAACCAGUACUGCAGCACGGAGAAGCAACGUGUGGAGGCAGGAGUCUCCGGCUGAUACUUGCUUCUGCUUUGGAAGUCAGAGUUUCACUUCUGACAAGGAUCAAGUUUAAAGCAGGAGUAAAUCCCCUUUGUAGCAAUACAUUAAAGAGAAUCACAGAACGUUUCAUUGGGCACAAAAGCUUCUGCUGACAGCACGGGACGCCUCUCACUGUGCAGCCAACUCCUUUCUGCUGCAGAUGCCUAACAGUCCCUCUCCACGUUACCCAGUUUGCUCUCUUAUGAACCCAUCAGCGUAGACUUGCAAUUAUUUUGUGUGAAUUUGUUCUUGUAAUCAAAGAGUAAACGAGAGGUGGUGUUGCAAGCCAGAAGCAAUCAUCCUUUUAAUGCUUACCUACACGUACUCACCUUUACCUGGAGACUUUAUGUUCCUCUGCAGCUUUGACCUCUCUGUCUUUUUAUUUGACUGGACAUGCUCUUAGCAUUUCUAGCAGGGUAGGUCUGCUGGUUGAACGUUUCUUCAGAUUUCAUUUCUACAUGUCUUAAUUUCUUUAAAAUUUCGAGAUUUUUUUUUCUGGUGGCGUUCUAUUGUGGGGGGAUGCUGACAAUACUUAAA